CAAUAGCGUAUAUUAAAGUUGUUGCAGUUAAAAAGCUCGUAGUUGGAUUUCUGGUGGGAGCGAUCGGUCUGGCGCUUAGCGCGAGUACUUGCAUCGUCUCCGGCCAUCCUUGGGGAGAGUCUGUCUGGCAUUAGGUUGUCGGGCAGAGGAUCCUCAUCGUUUACUGUGAAAAAAUUAGAGUGUUCAAAGCAGACUUAUGCCGUUGAAUAUAUUAGCAUGGAAUAAUAAGAUAGGACUUUGGUACUAUUUUGUUGGUUUGCGCACCAAAGUAAUGAUUAAUAGGGACAGUUGGGGGUAUUCGUAUUCCGUUGUCAGAGGUGAAAUUCUUGGAUUUACGGAAGACGAACUACUGCGAAAGCAUUUACCAAGGAUGUUUUCAUUAA
rnacentral:rRNA from 1 species